AGUGAACGCUGGCGGUAGGCCUAAUACAUGCAAGUCGAACGGCAGCACAGUAAGAGCUUGCUCUUACGGGUGGCGAGUGGCGGACGGGUGAGGAAUACAUCGGAAUCUACUUUUUCGUGGGGGAUAACGUAGGGAAACUUACGCUAAUACCGCAUACGACCUACGGGUGAAAGCAGGGGAUCUUCGGACCUUGCGCGAUUGAAUGAGCCGAUGUCGGAUUAGCUAGUUGGCGGGGUAAAGGCCCACCAAGGCGACGAUCCGUAGCUGGUCUGAGAGGAUGAUCAGCCACACUGGAACUGAGACACGGUCCAGACUCCUACGGGAGGCAGCAGUGGGGAAUAUUGGACAAUGGGCGCAAGCCUGAUCAAGCCAUACCGCGUGGGUGAAGAAGGCCUUCGGGUUGUAAAGCCCUUUUGUUGGGAAAGAAAAGCAGCAGGUUAAUACCCCGCUGUUCUGACGGUACCCAAAGAAUAAGCACCGGCUAACUUCGUG
rnacentral:rRNA from 1 species